UACGGGGGGAGCAAGCGUUGUUCGGAUUUACUGGGCGUAAAGGGCGCGUAGGCGGCCUCUGCAAGUCGACUGUGAAAUCUCCGGGCUUAACCCGGAAAGGUCAGCCGAUACUGCAGGGCUAGAGUGCAGAAGGGGCAACUGGAAUUCUCGGUGUAGCGGUGAAAUGCGUAGAUAUCGAGAGGAACACCUGCGGCGAAGGCGGGUUGCUGGGCUGACACUGACGCUGAUGUGCGAAAGCUAGGGGAGCGAACGGG
rnacentral:rRNA from 1 species